rnacentral:rRNA from 1 species
ACGCUGGCGGCAUGCCUAACACAUGCAAGUCGAACGAGACCUUCGGGUCUAGUGGCGCACGGGUGCGUAAACGCGUGGGAAAUCUGCCUUUGGGUUCGGAAUAACAGUGAGAAAUUACUGCUAAUACCGGAUGAUGUCUUCGGACCAAAGAUUUAUCGCCCAAAGAUGAGCCCGCGUAAGAUUAGCUAGUUGGUGAGGUAAAGGCUCACCAAGGCGACGAUCUUUAGCUGGUCUGAGAGGAUGAUCAGCCACACUGGGACUGAGACACGGCCCAGACUCCUACGGGAGGCAGCAGUGGGGAAUAUUGGACAAUGGGCGAAAGCCUGAUCCAGCAAUGCCGCGUGAGUGAUGAAGGCCUUAGGGUUGUAAAGCUCUUUUACCAGGGAUGAUAAUGACAGUACCUGGAGAAUAAGCUCCGGCUAACUCCGUG